rnacentral:lncRNA from 1 species
UUUUAGUUACUAUAUCAUUUAAAGUAUUUGUAUGCUGUGUUAGUAUUCCUUGUUGAAUAAAUGUUUUGAUUUAAAAAUUUUUUUUAAAAGAUUUAAGUUUAAGAAAAAAGAUUGUUAAAUGGUCAAUUAAUGUAGCACAUAAAAACAGAUUUACAAACCAACUGCAUCGAUGCAAAGUGAGAGAUGAGAUUUGUCAAAGAUUAAAAAUCAAGCGCCAUAAAAUGGAUGAAAAAGAAAAAAGAAAGUUAGAGCGUGAUAUCCAAAUUGAGUUUUAACGAAAUUAUUAAUUCAUGCAAGCGCUUGUCCAAUGACCAACUAUUUGAUUUAGAAGAUGUCAUGUCAGAUAGAAUUGUUUGGAAGAAACUAGAACAUGAAUGGUACGAUCCAAAAACAUACAAAAGUGUUUUAUAUAGCGAAAGAGUAGAAAAAGUUAAUAAAAGAAAAAAUAACUUUAUUUACACCAUUUCUUACUGGAAAGAUGAUGAAACUGGUAUUGGAGCUGUUAACUAUUGCAUGAAAAAGAUCCAGCUUGCUGCUGAUGUUGUUUCCAGAAAUUUGUUUAUUAACCGAAGAAAAUGGUUAGCUCGUUAACCAUACUGUAUGGUUCUGUUAAUGUGAGAAUCACAUGAAAGACAAUAAUAUAGGUGAAACAGUUAUCAUUAAUUGGUGGUAAAAAUCUAGCUGAUACAAUUAAAAAUAUUUUGCUCUUAAGCUGCUUUUAAGUCAAAUAAAAACUUAAC